AUACGGAGGAUUCAAGCGUUAUCCGGACUUAUUGGGUUUAAAGGGAGCGCAGGCGGAGAUGCAAGCGUGACGUCAAAUUUCGGGGCUCAACCCCGUCUCGCGUCGCGAACUGCGUCCCUUGGUUGCGGGAAGGGGAGGCGGAACUCGUGGUGUAGCGGUGCAAUGCAUAGAUAUCACGAAGAACUCCGAUCGCGAAGGCAGCCUUCCGGCCCGUCAACGACGCUCAUGCUCGAAGGUGCGGGUAUCAAACAGGAUUAGAUACCCUGGUAGUCCGCACAGUAAACGAUGGACACCCGCGGUUUGGCCUAUAUGGCUGAGCCGCCAAGCGAAAGCGUUAAGUGUCCCACCUGGGGAGUACGCCGGCAACGGUGAAACUCAAAUGAAUUGACGGGG
rnacentral:rRNA from 1 species